UGGGGAAUAUUGCACAAUGGAGGGAACUCUGAUGCAGCGACGCCGCGUGAACGAAGAAGGCUUUCGAGUCGUAAAGUUCUUUUAUAUGGGAAGAUAAUGACGGUACCAUAAGAAAAAGCCCCGGCUAACUACGUGCCUGCAGCCGCGGUAAUACGUAGGGGGCUAGCGUUGUCCGGAAUCACUGGGCGUAAAGGGUUCGCAGGCGGAAAUGCAAGUCAGGUGUAAAAGGCAGUAGCUUAACUACUGUAAGCAUUUGAAACUGCAUAUCUUGAGAAGAGUAGAGGUAAGUGGAAUUUUUAGUGUAGCGGUGAAAUGCGUAGAUAUUAAAAAGAAUACCGGUGGCGAAGGCGACUUACUGGGCUCAUUCUGACGCUGAGGAACGAAAGCGUGGGUAGCAAACAGG
rnacentral:rRNA from 2 species